UAGGGAAUCUUCGGCAAUGGGGGGAACCCUGACCGAGCAACGCCGCGUGAGUGAAGAAGGUUUUCGGAUCGUAAAGCUCUGUUGUUAAGGAAGAACGAGUGUGAGAAUGGAAAGUUCAUGCUGUGACGGUACUUAACCAGAAAGGGACGGCUAACUACGUGCCAGCAGCCGCGGUAAUACGUAGGUCCCGAGCGUUGUCCGGAUUUAUUGGGCGUAAAGCGAGCGCAGGCGGUUAGAAAAGUCUGAAGUGAAAGGCAGUGGCUCAACCAUUGUAGGCUUUGGAAACUGUUUAAAUUGAGUGCAGAAGGGGAGAGUGGAAUUCCGUGUGUAGGGGUGAAAUGCGUAGAUAUAUGGAGGAACACCGGUGGCGAAAGCGGCUCUGUGGUCUGUAACUGACGCGGAGGCUCGAAAGCGUGGGGAGCGAACAGG
rnacentral:rRNA from 1 species